UACGUAGGGGGCAAGCGUUGUCCGGAUUUAUUGGGCGUAAAGAGCGUGUAGGCGGCCAUACAGGUCCGUUGUGAAAACUGGAGGCUUAACCUCCAGACGUCGAUGGAAACCGUAUGGCUAGAGUCCGGAAGAGGAGAGUGGAAUUCCUGGUGUAGCGGUGAAAUGCGCAGAUAUCAAGAGGAACACCUGCGGCGAAGGCGGGUUGCUGGGCCGACACUGACGCUGAGGCGCGAAAGCCAGGGGAGCGAACGGG
rnacentral:rRNA from 1 species